rnacentral:rRNA from 1 species
GAUGAACGCUGGCGGCGUGCUUAACACAUGCAAGUCGAACGGAAAGGCCCAAGCUUGCUUGGGUGCUCGAGUGGCGAACGGGUGAGUAACACGCGGGUGAUCUGCCCUGCACUUUGGGAUAAGCCUGGGAAACUGGGUCUAAUACCGGAUAGGACCAUCGUUUAGUGUCGGUGGUGGAAAGUUUUUCGGUGUGGGAUGAGCUCGCGGCCUAUCAGCUUGUUGGUGGGGUAAUGGCCUACCAAGGCGUCGACGGGUAGCCGGCCUGAGAGGGUGUACGGCCACAUUGGGACUGAGAUACGGCCCAGACUCCUACGGGAGGCAGCGGUGGGGAAUAUUGCACAAUGGGCGCAAGCCUGAUGCAGCGACGCCGCGUGGGGGAUGACGGCCUUCGGGUUGUAAACUCCUUUCGCCAAGGACGAAGCGUUUUGUGACGGUACUUGGAGAAGAAGCACCGGCUAACUACGUG